GAAUAAACAACUGCUGCAUGAAUGUUUCCAUUCUCUCCUGCCUGGGAAAGAGGGGCUUUACCACGUCACCUGCUUCCCGACCCUUUCUCCAGAGUGUGUCGUGUGGGCUCUGGUGUUGCAGAAUCAGGAGGAGCGCGGAGAGAAGGAGAAGGGGUGUGUGGCUACAGCCGGAAGAGGAGUUUGGGAAGCAGGAAUGUGGAAGAGAAGAGGUCCAGGAUCUGAUGUGCUGAAAAGUCUGUCUUACAUGAAAGCCUCCCAAGACACGGACUUCUUCUAAGGAAAACUGCCCUGCCUCCAGCCCCUGUAAGCUUGUGGUUCAGUCUCCCUGGAUACAGUUGCCUUGAGGCAAAGGUGACCCAGUGGCAGCCAAUUCACAGAAGGGCCAGCCCAGGCUAACAAGGAAAUAUUUUCUUUUGAAGUAAUCUCUACACCCAACAUGGGGCUUGAACUUACAACUCUGAGAUCAACUCCGUCUCUACUGAUGGAACCCUCCAGGCACCCCUUGGUAAAACACCCUAAAGAGUUUAAACAGGAAAUGAGAAAUCGCUGUGGAGAGAACAAGUGAAGUGUAAAUACAGAACAAAGAGAGAGAACAUAUGAAAAGCAUUAAGCAAGAAUGGAGGAUAGAAUGAAAAAACUGAAUAAACAUUAACAAGAAUCCCAGGAGAAAGGAGAGUGAAUGGAGGAAAGAGAACAUUUGAAGAGAAUUUUCCAGAACCGAGGAACAACAUGAAUCCAGAGAGGAUUACAACAUGUACCAGGCAGAAUGAACACACAGAAACUCACACUAGACCCAUUUCAAGGAAUAAGAAAGGCCAGGAGAGGAUCUUGCCACCAAGAACAGAGAGAAGCGAAAUCACCAGUGAAGGCGUGACACGUAGACUACCUCAGACUUCCCAACAACAAUGAUGGAAGCCAUAGGCAGUGGAGUCAUCUUGAGGGGAAAAACCCUCUCAACCUGCAAUCGCACACACAGAAAUAUUAUUCCCAGUCGAGGGUGAAAUAAAGACAUUUUCAGAAGUCAGACUCCAGGGUUCAUGCUUCUUCCUCUGGAUUAUUACUGGUAGUUCUCAGCUACUUCCAGAUCUACCAUCGUACUUCAAGAAUUCCCUUCCCGGCCAUUGUUCUUGAUUCUUCUAUGUCCUCCUGCCUUAGCUAUUUCUCCUGAGGUCCGAGCACGUUCGUGAAGAGAACACGCGUGUGCUUGUUUUUGAGGGAGGGCCUGGCCUAAAGCCUGGGGGAAUUUUCUGUCAGGAAAGGCUCCAAGGAAGCCAAGGCUUCGCUGGGGAACCCUCCUCCCAACAGUCUGGGACUGAGAAGGAGCUCAAGCCAAGCAGAGGGAGGCAGUCACGGAACAUACCACAAAGGCCCCCAAAGUCCCUUCUAGAAAACUUCCAGGCUCCUAAGAGCCCACCACUUGGGGUUGGCAUUUCUUGAAGGACUUUUCUGGUCCUCCACAGAAGAGGCAAGCUUGUCCUCUCAGAGGGGGGGAGGAAAUUCAGGAGCCAAACAAGGGGACAAAUGGAGAGGUUGCAGAGAAAAAGGGAGUUCCGACAAGCCAGUGGAAGGGCCGCCCUGUCCCUCCCAGGACCCGUAUCUCAGCCUCCCCAGUAAGCAUGGGGUUGAAAGAGGAGGAGGCCGGACAAAAGCCAACAAGACGAAGGUGGAAGGACCGUUGAGCUCCGUCUCUCCCAGGGAAGGACCAGAGACAGAUGCCACCAGCCCCUGCCACACUACCCAGAGGUGACAGUGAAGGGAUCAGAGAGGGGUGACAAGAAGGAGAUGGCUCCUCCACCUCUAUUUCAGUCCAGCCACCCAGGGAAUACCUUUCUGCUUCUGAGGAACGGCACAGUCGGCCUUCUCUGCCUGCCCCAUCCUUCUCUGCAUCAACACCUGACCUCUGGAACCUUCGAGGCUCCCUGGGAAGUCUUGGCUAGCUGUCCACUCCAGCAGAGCUGACAGGGAAUUUUUGACACUCUUUUGUAACUUUAUAUGUUCAUAUCUUUCUCUCGUCAUGUGCUCCUAGAAAGCAGGGACUCCACUGUCCUGUCAUUGUAGUCCCCAUACGCGGCCCAUCAGGACACUCAGCAAAUGUUGCUGAAACAGAUGAAUGAGGGAGUGAAAUGCUUAUUGACCUCUACCAUGAGACUGACACCCCUAGACCCUGUGGAUCUAUCAGGCUGUGAGGACAUUGUUCCUGAUCACAAGAAAUGCCCGGUCCGGUUAAGAGGCACAGAUGCCACCGCCCCCCACUGCUCCCACCAGAUGAGUUGGAACUAGAGGCAUCACUUGUCUGCUCUGUCCUGUGAGUCGGCCACUGCCCGGCUUUUAUUUUUAUCCUGGUAGAAAGGGCUUAAAAGCCGCUGGGGAUAUGUGAUAUGUGAUAUGUGAUCCUGUUUCCUCCUGUCCAUUUCCACAGAGAUAUUUUCUUUUUUUCUACCCAUAUUUUUGAGGUGGGUGAUCACAAUCUCAGUUGUACAGUUUUAUAGCAGAUAAGGUCCUUAUGGCUGCUUUGGCUGAUUGGCACCCGUUUUUUAAAAUUUUCAUUCCAGUAGAGUUAACAUAUAGUGUUCUGUUCAGAUCAGGUGCUCAGUGCCCAUCUCGGUACAUGUGCUCUCGAUCCCUUUAACCCAUCUCACCUGUCCGCCCACCCACCCCCACUCUGGGGACCACCAGUGUGUUCUGCAUGCAGACAUCUUUAAAUAGAAAGACCUAGGUCCUCCAAGUUUGGAGAUGGGUGGGUGGGGGAGCCAGGGAGGAGGAGCUGGAAAGGCCACUUCCCAAGCUUCUCUGGGGUAGGGUAGGCGGUGGCCCAUGGAGGAGGAGAGAAAAUCUGACCAGGGCCCUGUGCCCCUGAUGAAGAAAUGCGGGGCUUCUCAGGGAACCAGCCUGGGAAGAGGCAGUGCUCCCAAUGGGCGAUUUUUAGUCUGGGUGCAGGUCCAAGGCUGCUCUCCACAGCUUUGCUAUUUGCUGGGGUUGAGGGGGCUGUGAAUGGAAGGAGCUGUCUUCCUCCUGCUCAGACCCCAGGAACCCUGAGACCAGACAUGUCCCCCAGGCUGCCGCACGACAUCCGUUUGGGCCCUCCAUGUUGCCGAGCUCCAGGCUGCAGCUCCAGGACUGAACUGUGAGCCCAUCACGACCCCUUCUGUCCUCAGAUAGGAAUGUGCACGGGCCUGAAGCAGCAGCCCAGGGUUGCAGAGGAACCAGACGCCCAAGGGCAGCACGGGUGGGAGAUCUCGGGGUUAAGCCUGGCCUGAGCGGAUGCACACUGUCUUCUGAAGGUUGAGAUGAGGCACCAAGGUCAGGAGGCCCAGCCAGGGCCACAGAGGUCAAGAAGGAGGCAGAAGCAUGGCCUCAAUUUCCCCUAUGGAAAAACUGGUGUCAGGACACAGGAUGGAAAAAUUAAUGUGUCUCCCAGAUCCUGGCUCUGUUAUUUUUCUUCUGAUCUCAGACGCUUCCCAAAUGACUUGUCCAGGCCCAGCCAGUCCCUCAGCAGAGCCUAGGCAGAUAAGGUUAGGGCUGAGAGGCCAAAACUACCAACAGGACUUGGGAGCCCCAAGGAACCCAUUUGUCUGCUUUCUGGAAUGUGUCAUAUAUCAACCAGGUUGGCUCAACAGGUGGCCUCGCCUGGUCUCCACUUCAGCAGGGGCCACGCACAGUCUUGGGUCCCGGGUCUGGGCCCCGGGGCAGGAGGGAUUAAAGCCACUGGAGCCCAGACCCCUGCGUCUGUGCAUCAAGGCCCUGGCUGUUCAUUUGCCUGACCUCGGCCAGGCUUGUGACAAGAAGCUUUCUGCCUUGCCUUUGA